AGAUGGAUUGGUGCCUUCGGGAACUCUGACACAGGUGCUGCAUGGCUGUCGUCAGCUCGUGUCGUGAGAUCGUUGGGUUAAGUCCCGUUAACGAGCGCAACCCUUGUCCUUAGUUACCAGCACGUUAUGGUGGGCACUCUAAGGAGACUGCCGGUGACAAACCGGAGGAAGGUGGGGAUGACGUCAAGUCAUCAUGGCCCUUACGGCCUGGGCUACACACGUGCUACAAUGGUCGGUACAAAGGGUUGCCAAGCCGCGAGGUGGAGCUAAUCCCAUAAAACCGAUCGUAGUCCGGAUCGCAGUCUGCAACUCGACUGCGUGAAGUCGGAAUCGCUAGUAAUCGUGAAUCAGAAUGUCACGGUGAAUACGUUCCCGGGCCUU
rnacentral:rRNA from 1 species